rnacentral:rRNA from 1 species
CUACGGGUGGCAGCAGUGGGGAAUAUUGCACAAUGGGCGAAAGCCUGAUGCAGCGACGCCGCGUGAGUGAUGAAGGUCUUCGGAUUGUAAAGCUCUGUUCUUGGGGAAGAAUAAAUGACGGUACCCAAGGAGAAAGCCCCGGCUAACAUACGUGCCAGCAGCCGCGGUAAUACGUAGGGGGCAAGCGUUAUCCGGAAUCACUGGGCGUAAAGGGUGCGUAGGCGGCUUAGCAAGUCAGAAGUGAAAGGCAUUGGCUCAACCAAUGUAAGCUUUUGAAACUGUUAGGCUUGAGUGCAGGAGAGGAAAGUGGAAUUCCUAGUGUAGCAGUGAAAUGCGUAGAUAUUAGGAGGAACACCAGUGGCGAAGGCGACUUUCUGGACUGUAACUGACGCUGAGGCACGAAAGCGUGGGGAGCGAACAGGAUUAGAUACCCGCGUAGUC